GCCCGGAUGGUCUAGUGGUAUGAUUCUCGCUUUGGGCUAUACGGUUCCAAUCUGCGAGAGGUCCCGCGUUCAAACCGCGGUUCGGGCC